rnacentral:rRNA from 1 species
GGGAGCUUGCUCCCUGAGAUUAGCGGCGGACGGGUGAGUAACACGUGGGUAACCUGCCUGUAAGACUGGGAUAACUUCGGGAAACCGGAGCUAAUACCGGAUAGUUUCUUUUCUCGCAUGAGAGAAGAUGGAAAGAUGGUUUCGGCUAUCACUUACAGAUGGACCCGCGGCGCAUUAGCUAGUUGGUGAGGUAACGGCUCACCAAGGCGACGAUGCGUAGCCGACCUGAGAGGGUGAUCGGCCACACUGGGACUGAGACACGGCCCAGACUCCUACGGGAGGCAGCAGUAGGGAAUCUUCCGCAAUGGACGAAAGUCUGACGGAGCAACGCCGCGUGAGCGAAGAAGGCCUUCGGGUCGUAAAGCUCUGUUGUUAGGGAAGAACAAGUACGAGAGUAACUGCUCGUACCUUGACGGUACCUAACCAGAAAGCCACGGCUAACUACGUGCCAGCAGCCGCGGUAAUACGUAGGUGGCAAGCGUUGUCCGGAAUUAUUGGGCGUAAAGCGCGCGCAGGCGGUCCUUUAAGUCUGAUGUGAAAGCCCACGGCUCAACCGUGGAGGGUCAUUGGAAACUGGGGGACUUGAGUGCAGAAGAGGAGAGUGGAAUUCCACGUGUAGCGGUGAAA